AAUUCGCCCUUAGAGUUUGAUCAUGGCUCAGAUUGAACGCUGGCGGCAGGCCUAACACAUGCAAGUCGAGCGGCAGCACAAGGGAGUUUACUCCUGAGGUGGCGAGCGGCGGACGGGUGAGUAAUGCCUAGGGAUCUGCCCAGUCGAGGGGGAUAACAGUUGGAAACGACUGCUAAUACCGCAUACGCCCUACGGGGGAAAGAGGGGGACUUUCGGGCCUCUCGCGAUUGGAUGAACCUAGGUGGGAUUAGCUAGUUGGUGAGGUAAUGGCUCACCAAGGCGACGAUCCCUAGCUGUUCUGAGAGGAUGAUCAGCCACACUGGGACUGAGACACGGCCCAGACUCCUACGGGAGGCAGCAGUGGGGAAUAUUGCACAAUGGGGGAAACCCUGAUGCAGCCAUGCCGCGUGUGUGAAGAAGGCCUUCGGGUUGUAAAGCACUUUCAGUANGGAGGAAAGGUUGUAAGUUAAUACCUUGCAGCUGUGACGUUACCUACAGAAGAAGGACCGGCUAACUCCGUGCCAGCAGCCGCGGUAAUACGGAGGGUCCAAGCGUUAAUCGGAAUUACUGGGCGUAAAGCGUGCNCCAGGCGGUUUGUUAANCGAGAUGUGAAAGCCCCGGGCCUCAACC
rnacentral:rRNA from 1 species